GUCGACGAUUACUCCUACGGGAGGCAGCAGUAGGGAAUCUUCCGCAAUGGACGAAAGUCUGACGGAGCGACACCGCGUGAAGGAUGAAGGUUUUGCUAUUGUAAACUUCUUUUCUCAGGGACGAUAAUGACGGUACCUGAGGAAUAAGGGACGGCUAACUAUGUGCCAGCAGCCGCGGUAAUAAUCUCUAGA
rnacentral:rRNA from 1 species